UGAUUUAGAAGGGUUAGUUUAGUCUUUUUCAUCCAAAACAUAAUGUAUUUAUGAAAAUGGUUAUCAUAGGGUAAAAUUUGAAAAGUGGUAGAAAAUUUGUUAUAGAACUGAAUUUUCCCACAAAUAAAACUAUAUAAACCAAACUUAUAGUCAAUAUAAAUGAGAUUAAAAAUGUGGAUAUUCUUAUACAUUGGUUUCAAACUUACUCGAGAAAAAAGUUCAACAUAAUUAUUUUUAGUGGUCGUUGUCACUUUUAAGAUCA
rnacentral:lncRNA from 1 species